rnacentral:rRNA from 1 species
AUUGAACGCUGGCGGCAGGCCUAACACAUGCAAGUCGAACGAGUGGCGGAAGGGUGAGUAAUGUCUGGGAAAGUGCCCGAGGGAGGGGGAUAAGUGCUGGAAACGGUAGCUAAUACCGCAUACCAUCGGAUGUGCCCAGAUAGGAUUAGCUAGGAGGUGGGGUAACGGCUCACCUAGGCGACGAUCCCUAGCUGGUCUGAGAGGAUGAACAGCCACACUGGAACGGAGACACGGUCCAGACUCCUACGGGAGGCAGCAGUGGGGAAUAUUGCACAAUGGGCGCAAGCCUGAUUCAGCCAUGCCGCGUGGGUGAAGAAGGCCUUCGGGUUGUAAAGUACUUUCAGUGAGGAGGCGUUACUCGCAGAAGAAGCACCGGCUAACUCCGUGCCAGCAGCCGCGGUAAUAC